rnacentral:ncRNA from 2 species
GUUCAAGAGUCGCGGCCGUAGGUACCUGGCUGGUCGCGCGACAACCCGAAUCCAUCGAUUCCCGGGUGUCCCAGGGCAAGAACGGGCUCACGAAUCAUCGUGAUGCAAGCAUCGAUG